AAAGAGAAUAACAAGUAAAAAGCAAUGCAUGUAAAUACAGAGCAAGCAAGUAGGAAAGCUAGGCAUAGCACAGCAAAAGAGAGCAAAGCAAAAGAAGGCAAAGAAUGACAAAAAGCAACCUUGCAGGAAUGGAGGAAUCUGUCCAGAGCUGUGCCCCUGCUUGCCACAGGAGCUGCGCGGGAGGAGAAGAACGUGGGCCAAAAGGAAUGGAGGAAUCUGUCCAGAGCUGUGCCCCUGCUUGCCACAGGAGCUGCGCGGGAGGAGAAGAACGUGGGCCAAAAGGUAAGAGGAGCUCCUUUGGGUUCUGGGCUUGAAGCAAAGCUGAGAAGCCAUGCCCGGGAGGAGGUGUGGGUAGCUACAGGCCACCUUGCUAUCUCCCCAAGAGAUGAGGUGUGUGGGCUAGGCACCGGGCAGGAGUGCUGGCCAGAAGCAAGCAUCUCUGUGGAGGAAGGCAAAGGGCGGAGGAGGUUCAAGGGUAGCUACCGGGCAUGGCCUUGCUCAGCAAGGGGAGGAAAAGCCUGAAGGGCACGAGAAGGGGAUAGAGAAGGGCAGGCAGUAGGCGUGAAGCUGCGAGCAGAGUAGAGAGCAACUUGGCAGAGCAGCAAGCAGAGUAGGCAAGUGUUGAGGUUUGGCGUGAGUAGCAGCAAAAGCCCAGAGCAUCAAGAAGCAGGAAGUGAGGAGAAGGUAAGUGAAGGGCAGGCAAGGUAAUGGGAGGCAAAGGCAAGGGGAAAGGGGGGGUAAGGGAGAAAGAAGGGAUGGGGAUGGGGAGGGGAUGGGUGAAGAGCAGAGCGGAGGGAAGGGCUGAGGGGAGGGCUGAAGGCAAACCUAUGAUGAAAAAAGAAAAGAAAAAAUAAGAACAAAAAAUAUGAAAAAAGAGAAAAAAAGAAAAGAAAAUAAGAAAAAGAGAAAAAAGAAAAGAAAAAAGAAAAAAAUGAACAAAAAAGAGUAAAAAGAGAAAAAAAUGAAAAAAGAGAAAAAAGAGAAAAGAAAAAAAGAACAUGAACAAAAAAGAGAAAAAAGAGAAAAGAUAAAAAAAGAAAAAGAAAAGAAAAGAAAAGAAAAAAGAAAAAGAAAAAAGAAAACAGAAAAAUAUGAAAAAAAGAAAAAAAAAAAAAAAAAAAAAAAAUAGAUGAAAAAAGAAAAAACAAAGGAAAAACGAAUAAUGACAAGAGAAGAAAGGUAAAGAGAAAAGAAGAAAAAAGCCAAGUCAAAAAGUAAAGAAUAACUCGAAGGAAGGAGUGGAUGGCAAGAAAUACAGAGAAAGCAGUGCAUAGCACAGCAAGAGCAAAGCAAGGCAAAAUAGCAGCCAAAGCCACGAGAAUCAAGAAGUCAGUGAAGAGCAGGAAAGGUAAGUUUCCCUUAAAGCAAGGGGGAAUGGUAGUGGAAGGGAGAAAAGAGAGGGGAGGGGAGGGGAAGUGAAGGAGUGGGGGGAGAGGGGGAGGAGCAGUGGGGAAAGCGG
rnacentral:lncRNA from 7 species